AACUGAGAGGUUAUCAACAAAUUAUAAGUUUUCGGGUACCAUGAGGAUUUUUCAUGCAUUUAAACGAAAGAAGUACAAGCGAACAGAUGACACAGUGGCUGCAGAAGCUUGAAAAGUUAGAUGGAGCAGGGGCAGUCAAAACAGUGGGAUAAUACUUCUAUGGUGUCCAACAUGUCUAGUCAGGUUGACAGAAGUGAAAGAUGGUCUGAUGGUACAAUGAUGUACAAAUGAUACUCUUUAACAGGUUUAACAUGUCAAGGUGUAAAAUGUUCUGUGGAUUCAUAUGAUGAGAAUGCCAGUGUUGAUAUGUCUGACUUAAUUAAACACAGAUAUUGAUACCUUCAGAUAUAUACCUGUGAAAUCUUCAGUGUCACCGUUCAGCUAUUGUUCAAGAUAAGUGUCUGCAGCUUGCACAGUUUAGUAUAGAGGAGCCUUCUGAAUCAACUUUGUUACAUAUUUGCUGUUAUUGUAGGACACACAUAUAGAGAGCAGCAAGUCCUGUCCAGCCGUGCAUGUAAAUGUGAUUCAGAAACUUUGAGAAUAUAUAAACAUUACACUGCUAUAAUUUUCAAAAUACUGUGUCUUGUAGUGUAUCAGUACUGUUUUGUCUCAGUUUAUAGCACAGUAUG
rnacentral:lncRNA from 1 species